AACAAAGGACUCAGUGUAUCAAUUGGCACUUUAUAAAUAUGUAACUAAACAUUGGCUCCUUCCCCAAUCUAGAAGUAACAAUUCUGGGCACAAACAAUGCAAGUUCUGUUGAAAUUGGUCCGCUUUUAAGCUUCCGCGUAGAAACAACAGGUGGUUACUACAGACAGGCAAUCUGCAACAUAUUGAUUCCAGAGCAAUCCAAUUUAUUAAUUAACAGGGUAUCUCUGCAAUAAAUGGAUUAUAGAUUGCUAUGAAUAAGGUCAACAAAAUAAGCAUAUUAGAUACAGGAUCCAGAUAUUCUAAAUGGCAUAGGAGCAGUGCCAACAACAACAAGAACAACAACAAGAACCACAGGCAACCUACAAAGAUCCUUUUAAAAAUGCCAGCAGACUGGAAGGAAGCUGACCACAUGCAUAAGAGGAGACACUUCCCGUAUCUUUGCUGGUUGUACAGAAGUGAGCAUAUUGAUAGGUAAAUUGGUAGAUAAAUCUUGUCACAGAGAAUGGCUUACAAUGUUUUUGAAAGUGAUGCUAAGACAAGCUGGACAUAGUCAAAUGCCCUCUCUUGCAUCUGAUCACUUCAGCUACAGAGUUAUGGACUCUUUCUCUUGUUCUGUAGGUAACAUGAAUGAUGAUUUCUGUAUCUUAACCUGUUUGCAAUCUUUCCAUAGGAAAUAAUGGCAUGUGCUUUGUGCUUGGGUAGCAUUUAAACACGCUAUUGACAGGAAUAGCAAGGAAUGGUGCUGAAAUCUGUAAUUAACUAGUUCUGUAUGUUAAUUUGUCAAGCUUCUUAUGCUUGCCUGUAUGAGCAGCAUAUCAUCUAAAAGUUCUUCCCUCCUUCUUUUCAAUUCUCUGACUCAUAAUUGAAAAGAUUAUAUGCACGCCCCAUCAGUGUCCAGCAGACCAAAUGCUAUAGGGCUGGCCAUAGCUCAGUGGUCAAGCACCUGCUAUGUAAGCAGAAGAUUCUAGGUUCAGUCCUUGGCAUCUCCAGGUAGUGUUGGAAGAGAAUCCUGCCUGAAAUCCUAGAGAUCUUCUGCCAGUCAGUGUAGACAGUACUGAGCUAGAUGGCUCCCAGUACAUUUCCGAGCACAAUUCAAAGUGCUGGUGCUGAUCUUUAAAGCCCUAAACGGCCUCAGCCCAGCAUACCUGAAGGAGUGUCUCCACCCCCAUCGUUCUGCCUGGAUACUGAGGCCCGGCGCCGAGGGCCUUCUGUCAGUUCCCUCACUGCGAGAAGCCAAGUUACAGGGAACCAGGCAGAGGGCCUUCUCAGUAGUGGCACCUGCCCUGUGGAACACCCUCCCACCAGAUGUCAAAGAGAAGAACAACUACCAGACUUUUAGAAGACAUCUGAAGGCAACCCUCUUUAGGGAAGCUUUUAAUGUUUAACAGACCACUGUAUUUUAAUACUCUGUUGGAAGCCGCCCAGAGUGGCUGGGGAAACCCAGCCAAAUGGCUGGGGUAUAAAUAAUAAAUUCUAUUCUAUUCUAGAUGGACCAAUGGUCCAAUUCAAUAUAAGGCUAUGUUCAGAUGUUGAUUGUUGUAAAUAGACUACCCAGGGCUAAAUGAUGGUUUGGCUUAGCAUUAUGCCUAAGCCCAAGCUUGUGGUUUGUCUCCCUUAGACAAACCACAAGUGGUAUACAAAAAACAAACCUUGGUUACAGCUCAACAUCUGGAGUGAGAUAAACCACAAGCCUGGGUUCACAUGUAACACUAAUCCAAACCAUAGGUAGCUCAGCAACAGCAAAACCAAGGGACAAGCACUGAACCUGCACAUUUGCUCAUUCGUGCUAAUCCAUAAUUUGGCUUAUAUUAGGUGCAAACCAGAUCAUUGUGUGCUACAAAAUGCACACACACACACACACACACACACACACACACACCCCUAGACCAGUGUCAUCAGAUUAAUGUUUGUGCAGCUCUGAAGACAAACUUCUCUGUCUGGUUCCAUUACACAUACAGCGUCCAGGGAAUACUGUACUGCAGGGAUGUUUAUUUUCAGUGACAGUAACAUAUCUCUCAGUCUGCAAAUAGCCACUGCAGCAGUUCAUUCUUAGCAGCAUGUUCGUCCUUUGCCUUAUAUCUGAGUUGGGUUUCAGAGCUUGUGGGAUGUGUAGCAGGUGUUUGCAGGUGGAACCAGCAAGCAUAUUCUGGUGUCACUGGCAAGAAUUCAUAAGACAACAUCAUUCCCCUGCUUCUGCUUAAUGUGUGAGAGGCAGCAGCUAUGCAUCUAUCUGCUAUCUGCUGGCCAGUAGCUACACAUUCAGCAUUAAUGUGAAAGGGUCCUACAUACAUACGGAUAUGUGUGGUGGCUGCUGUAUGUGAAUGGGAACCAGGGUGGGCCAGAGUUUCUGCUUGCAUGGAGGAAUUGCAUAUGCAUAUCGUUGUGUGCAGUGUCCCUUCAUACCAAUGCAGAAGGUACAGCCACAGGAGGAGAGGUGCCCCUUUUGGGGUGUUGCCAGUAGUCAUUAUCAUGUUGUCCUUGUUGCAUGUAUGGGGAGGGGUCAUUUGAACACCCCUUAGUCCUCUGCUCUUUUUAGAGUAAAAAUUCAGGAAGAUGUGUCCUGUUUCUUCCAAGAGCUUCUAUCAAUUUAUACAAAUAGUGUUACCUCCAAUCUCCACCAAGCAUAGCAAAAUCCCAGGUAGUUACAGGCAGUCACCGAGGGUUGUGUUUCCAUUGGGAAUGCAAGGCAUGGUGGAGGCUUGUGUCUUUAAGAAAUAUGGUUUACUUUACACAUAUUUACACCUAAAGUCUUCAAUAGAGAGCUGCAGAGUUUACAGCAUUCACAUUUCGAAGGGCUUGUUCCCCAUAGUAUUAGAUUCCAGUACAUCUCUGUGUCGCUGUCCCAGCCUGCCUAGAUGGUUCUGACCUUCAGCACCUGCAUGGAGUUCUACUUAUUUCCCCCUUCUUGUUCCCAGAACACUUUGCUCCAAGAAACUCCUCCCCAUCCGCUCACUCCCCUAUUCCAAGCCUAGUUUUAAAAGGUGAGAAUUUUAAACCGAUGACAUCAUUCACCAUAACUUUUGCAACCUCUGCUGGCCCAAGGAUUUCUCUGUGAUGAGCCACCAAGACCUUUCAUCGUGUUAGUGAUCUCUAUCCCACGUGAAGCCCUGGCUUGUAUUUUUCCACCGGCCUGGAAUCUUCCCUUCAAUACUCCAAAAAUUAUCUAAAUUCUGCCAUUUUACUAAUUUCUAACAUUCACUAACUCUAGAUCUGUAACAAGAUUUAUGAUCCAACCUUGGCCUUGUGGUUCCUGGUACUGGAGAUGCCUUCAUUAAUAAAAUAAUUGAUGGGAGAGGGAAUUGCCACUGCUGUCCUUUUUGGGGAGCUAGUCAUUAAAAAAUGCAUUUCUGUUGCUUUUUCUGAGAGAUGUUACAAGUUGCUUCAAUCUUGGCAUAUGAUGAAAGCCCAUACAUCUCCUCUGCCCGAGAUGAAUGAUUUAUACCUGUUUGGGAUCAAAGUUGUGAGAGUUCUCUGUGGUUUCUCCUGUUCAUUGCUCAGUAGAAGCUGGACUGGUCCUAUCAUUAGGCUGAAUGAGGUGGCUGCCUCAGGCAGUAAAUGCUGCUGGUGGGCAGUAGUAGCAGCCUGCACCUUCCACUGUUCCACUUGAGUUUCCUUAGAGAACAGAACUGUGUGUGCCAUGCACCACUGAGCCUGUUGUUCUUAAGUGGAAGGUGCAGUCCCAUUGCCAGGACUGAAGUAAGAUUCAGCUGCAAGUCUUUACAGAUUCUGUAAAUGGAAUUGAGGGGGGUGGGGGGAAGAGAGUGAUAUAUAGGGCCAGCUCUGAUAUAUGGUUCAAAUUCAUCAAACCAAUUUGGACUGGCAAAGUGUGUACAGGAAGAUUUAAAGUGCUGUGGAAUUCUCUACCUAUGAGGGGCUUGUAGACAGAUAGUUUGACUCCUUCCUACACACGGCAUGGUCCACUGUGCAGAACACAGCUCACUAGUUAUAUGUGGUAGCCCGUUUGGAGCCUGAUGAACUUGCUGUUUAUGCCGCUUGCCUGGAACUCUAAAAAAUAAAAUAAAAUGGGACUGUCAAGCAGCUUUACAUGGCUGGAAGUUUGUGUUUGACUCAGAAGGUCACAAUUUGUGCAGGGCUGCACUAGAGUAGGGAGAAUGGGCUUUGACUCCUUCUGCUUCUGGUUUGAGCAGGCGACCUUCAGGUCCAUGCUAACUCCAUGUUUUUAACUGAGAAGAGCCCUGGUGAAGGAACAAACGGCUUCCUAACAGUGCUCUUACCAGAGUAUCAAAAAGCCUUGUGUGCCACACUAACAACUUGAUUUCCUUCAUGGGCAAUCUUUUUACUUUCCAAGCCACGCUCUCUCAGGAGUAAUAUGUUUGGGGCUGCAUGCUGACAGAGUGUGGCUAACUACAAUUGUAGGUGGUGUUGGAGCCAAAACUGGGUGGAGCCACUCCAUUUUUUUUCUCCCUCUUUCUGUUACUCCCCCUCUUCCUCCCCCUACGUAGUGGGCUGCUGGGGGAGGGAAAGAUCACAUUUGCCAGAGGCAUGAACUGAUCACUUGCGGACAGCUUUUGAGCCUAGGCACAAGCAUUGGGCCAGCCCUACAUCACUUUCAUACCCUCCAACAUUUCAAAUCUGGGAAUGUCCCUGGGAAAUAGGGACACUUGGGGAGUCAGCACUUUCCUGUGUUGGGAGAUGAGGCGUCAGACUAGUGGUAUCUCUCCCAUUGUUCCCUGACUCUUUUUCUAUGAGAUGACAAGCUCUUGAAUGUGAUGGAGUCUACCUCUUGGGUGGCUUCAUCCCACACCCACCAAAAAAGAUCAGACCCAACCUGAGACCCAGACCCAGCAACAGCACAAUAGCCACGGCUAAUUAAAAUAAUGCUGUGCCCCGUCCUGAGCACAGCUUGGCUUUUACUGCAGAUGACUUCAUCAGUGAUAAUGAAUGUGUGAACCUGAAUUCUUUUCCACUGCACUGUUUAUAUAUGCAAGCAUGCUGUUGACACAGAUCUCUUAAUCCCUUCUCUGUGUCCCAUGGACCAUGCUUGUACAAUAGCAGCCCUCGGCCUAUUGCUGGCAUUGCACUUUACUUCUCUGCUGAAACCCCUUUUACCUCAGACUCGCUGACCAGUUGCUGACAGGGUGUUAUUGGCAGGGGAAGCAGAGAGUUGUUUUGCUGGGAAUGUGAACUGUGCAGAGCUGUUUAAGAAUGAGAGGAACAGGACAGGCAGAACAUAGACUUCAAAAUAUGGACAGGGAGAGUGUAGACUCUAAAACAGGAUUCAGAAAUCCAGGAAUGUUCUUGAGAAACCCGGCUGGGCAUCUGAAUUGUUAUUGCUUUGUGUUGGAUUUAUCUUUUUCACAUGGUGUGUGUGUGAAUAUUUCAUAUCCAUUCCAGGAAGAAAGAUGGAUGUUCCUAAUUUGAAAUGCUGUAUUUGUUAUGUGCUAGUUUAAAACGUUUCUAAACCAGCCCUCAAUCUUAUGGAUACCAGGACAGUGAACAGUAGUAAAAUAUGAAAUGCUAUAAUGUAAUUUAAUGAAAACGACAACCAUUCUGGGGCUGUGAGGGACAUUAGCAGCAGCCACCCAGUAAUAAUAUCCUGGUCUGUGUGGGACUAACAUAUAACUGCUUCAACAGUUAUUUGCAGCCCAGGAAACUCUUCUGCUGAACGGCAGGGAGGUGCCCUGGUGUAGUAUCUAUUGUAUAUAUAUAUUUCUAUUUUAUUGUGUUUUUAAUAUGUUGUAUGUCUCCUCAAGAACUUUGAUUAAUAGGUGGGGUAUAAAUACCCUUAAAUAAAUAAAUAAAUGG